ensembl:rRNA 5S_rRNA 5S ribosomal RNA
CCACAGGGUCUUGCCACUGUAAAUGUGCCCGAUCUUGUCUGAUCUUGGAAGCUAAGCAGGAUCAGGUCUACUUAGUAUCUUGGAUGGGAGACUGCCUGGGAAUACAAAAGCCUACAGGU